rnacentral:rRNA from 1 species
GACGAACCGUGCGAACGUUGUUCGGAAUCACUGGGCGUAAAGGGCGCGUAGGCGGCCCGACGCGUCCGGGGUGAAAGCCUCCCGCUCAACGGGAGAAGCGCCCCGCAUACGGUCGGGCUCGAGGGGGCAAGGGGCAAGUGGAACACCCGGUGGAGCGGUGAAAUGCGUUGAGAUCGGGUGGAACUCCGGUGGCGAAGGCGACUUGCUGGGGCCCUACUGACGCUGAGGAGCGAAAGCCAGGGGAGCGAACGGG